GACGAACGCUGGCGGCGUGCCUAAUACAUGCAAGUAGAACGCACAGUUUAUACCGUAGCUUGCUACACCAUAGACUGUGAGUUGCGAACGGGUGAGUAACGCGUAGGUAACCUGCCUGGUAGCGGGGGAUAACUAUUGGAAACGACAGCUAAUACCGCAUAAUAUUAAUUAUUGCAUGAUAAUUAAUUGAAAGGUGCAAUUGCACCACUACCAGAUGGACCUGCGUUGUAUUAGCUAGUAGGUGAGGUAACGGCUCACCUAGGCGACGAUACAUAGCCGACCUGAGAGGGUGAUCGGCCACACUGGGACUGAGACACGGCCCAGACUCCUACGGGAGGCAGCAGUAGGGAAUCUUCGGCAAUGGACGAAAGGCUGACCGAGCAACGCCGCGUGAGUGAAGAAGGUUUUCGGAUCGUAAAGCUCGGUUGUAAGAGAAGAACGGGUGUGAGAGUGGAAAGUUCACACUGUGACGGUAUCUUACCAGAAAGGGACGGCUAACUACGUG
rnacentral:rRNA from 1 species